UGUCAACUCGGCAGCUGUGCCCUGACAGAGGUUUGAGGUUAAUCCACACACAACCCCCAAGAGGAAAGUACAGUCUAGUGGACAGGAGCAUGACCUGGAGUCAGAGGCCCUGGGUUCAAAUCCUGGCUCUGUUACUUCCAAGCUGUGCAACUGUGGGAUGAAGACAAGCGAGGGGCUGGCCCCGCAGAGACGCCCAGCUCUGCCCAGCUGCACCGACAGCAGGACUCACCAGAUUCUGAGUAAACACGGAAACGUCCUCUGUGCUGUUGUCAGAAUUCACGCGCACCAAUCUUCUAAGUCUGGCGGAACUUACAAUC
rnacentral:lncRNA from 1 species